rnacentral:rRNA from 1 species
ACAUGCAGAGAACUUUACCAGAGAUGGAUUGGUGCCUUCGGGAACGUACUGACACAGGUGCUGCAUGGCUGUCGUCAGCUCGUGUCGUGAGAUGUUGGGUUAAGUCCGUAACGAGCGCAACCCUUGUCCUUAGUUACCAGCACGUUAUGGUGGGCACUCUAAGGAGACUGCCGGUGACAAACCGGAGGAAGGUGGGGAUGACGUCAAGUCAUCAUGGCCCUUGCGGCCUGGGCUACACACGUGCUACAAUGGUCGGUACAAAGGGUUGCCAAGCCGCGAGGUGGAGCUAAUCCCAUAAAACCGAUCGUAGUCCGGAUCGCAGUCUGCAACUCGACUGCGUGAAGUCGGAAUCGCUAGUAAUCGUGAAUCAGAAUGUCACGGUGAAUACGUUCCCGGGCCUU